GAUGAACGCUGGCGGCGUGCCUAAUACAUGCAAGUCGAGCGAACGGACGAGAAGCUUGCUUCUCUGAUGUUAGCGGCGGACGGGUGAGUAACACGUGGAUAACCUACCUAUAAGACUGGGAUAACUUCGGGACACCGGAGCUAAUACCGGAUAAUAUUUUGAACCGCAUGGUUCAAAAGUGAAAGACGGUCUUGCUGUCACUUAUAGAUGGAUCCGCGCUGCAUUAGCUAGUUGGUAAGGUAACGGCUUACCAAGGCAACGAUGCAUAGCCGACCUGAGAGGGUGAUCGGCCACACUGGAACUGAGACACGGUCCAGACUCCUACGGGAGGUAGCAGUAGGGAAUCUUCCGCAAUGGGCGAAAGCCUGACGGAGCAACGCCGCGUGAGUGAUGAAGGUCUUCGGAUCGUAAAACUCUGUUAUUAGGGAAGAACAUAUGUGUAAGUAACUGUGCACAUCUUGACGGUACCUAAUCAGAAAGCCACGGCUAACUACGUG
rnacentral:rRNA from 1 species